rnacentral:rRNA from 1 species
CUACAGGCUUAACACAUGCAAGUCGAGGGGCAGCAUCAUCAAAGCUUGCUUUGAUGGAUGGCGACCGGCGCACGGGUGAGUAACACGUAUCCAACCUGCCGACAACACUGGGAUAGCCUUUCGAAAGAAAGAUUAAUACCGGAUGGCAUAGUUUUCCCGCAUGGGAUAAUUAUUAAAGAAUUUCGGUUGUCGAUGGGGAUGCGUUCCAUUAGGCAGUUGGCGGGGUAACGGCCCACCAAACCGACGAUGGAUAGGGGUUCUGAGAGGAAGGUCCCCCACAUUGGAACUGAGACACGGUCCAAACUCCUACGGGAGGCAGCAGUGAGGAAUAUUGGUCAAUGGACGAGAGUCUGAACCAGCCAAGUAGCGUGAAGGAUGACUGCCCUAUGGGUUGUAAACUUCUUUUAUACGGGAAUAAAGUUAGCCACGUGUGGCUUUUUGUAUGUACCGUAUGAAUAAGGAUCGGCUAACUCCGUGCCAGCAGCCGCGGUAAUACGGAGGAUCCGAGCGUUAUCCGGAUUUAUUGGGUUUAAAGGGAGCGUAGGCGGGUUGUUAAGUCAGUUGUGAAAGUUUGCGGCUCAACCGUAAAAUUGCAGUUGAUACUGGCGACCUUGAGUGCAACAGAGGUAGGCGGAAUUUCGUGGUGUAGCGGUGAAAUGCUUAGAUAUCACGAAGAACUCCGAUUGCGAAGGCAGCUUACUGGAUUGUAACUGACGCUGAUGCUCGAAAGUGUGGGUAUCAAACGGGAUUAGAUACCCUGGUAGUCCACACAGUAAACGAUGAAUACUCGCUGUUGGCGAUAUACAGUCAGCGGCCAAGCGAAAGCAUUAAGUAUUCCACCUGGGGAGUACGCCGGCAACGGUGAAACUCAAAGGAAUUGACGGGGGCCCGCACAAGCGGAGGAACAUGUGGUUUAAUUCGAUGAUACGCGAGGAACCUUACCCGGGCUUAAAUUGCAACUGACUGAACCGGAAACGGUUCUUUCUUCGGACAGUUGUGAAGGUGCUGCAUGGUUGUCGUCAGCUCGUGCCGUGAGGUGUCGGCUUAAGUGCCAUAACGAGCGCAACCCUUAUCGAUAGUUACUAGCAGGUCAUGCUGAGGACUCUAUUGAGACUGCCGUCGUAAGAUGUGAGGAAGGUGGGGAUGACGUCAAAUCAGCACGGCCCUUACGUCCGGGGCUACACACGUGUUACAAUGGGGGGUACAGAAGGCAGCUACACGGCGACGUGGUGCUAAUCCCGAAAGCCUCUCUCAGUUCGGAUUGGAGUCUGCAACCCGACUCCAUGAAGCUGGAUUCGCUAGUAAUCGCGCAUCAGCCACGGCGCGGUGAAUACGUUCCCGGGCCUUGUACACACCGCCCGUCAAGCCAUGAAAGCCGGGGGUACCUGAAGUACGUAACCGCAAGGAGCGUCCUAGGGUAAAACUGGUGAUUGGGGCUAAAU